UGGGCGGGGAAAAAGUUUGCGCACGCGCGGGAAAGGCUUGCGCGCGCGGGAACAGUUUAGGCGCGCGCGGGAACAGUUUAGGCGCGCGCGGGAACAGUUUAGGCGCGCGCGGGAACAGUUUAGGCGCGCGCGGGAAAGGUUAGCGCGCGCUGCGGGAAAGGUUAGCGCGCGCGCGGGAAAGGUUUGUAAUGAAGAACCCAGAAAUGUGCCACCUUGUCUCCGCUUUGCCGAGAUCAAGCAACAGAGGUUGGCUAAUUCCGGGCCUCAUGGCUCUGGACAGGCAACAGGUUCGGUUUCCUGAAUUCAAGAAGUCUGAUAAUCAAAAGUCAAAGAAUACAAAGUGACAGUUAAGAUUUUCAUAGUUCUUGAUUUUAUUAUUUGCUUCUUGGGAUAUUGAUCAGAUUCAUAACAAGAAGGAAUUGGACCAGUAAGGAAGGAGCUAUGAAGAGUAAGUUUUUCACUCAGAGCAAGAAUGGUGAAGAUAGGAAACUUAAAAGAAAGAAAGGCUUUUAAUAUCCAUGUGACCAAGGACAGAGAAACUGGCCAAAAUGAAGGCUCCUAUGAUUAUCGACCCUUCUCAGAAUGCAAGAUGUUCAGAAACAGAAAUCUCUUCCAGCCAAGCUGUGGAACAGGCUCUUUGUAAACAGGCUCUUUGUCAACAGGUGAAGCUGCUAAGGAUGACAUGUCAGUUUCACUAUUUCUUGAUGGCUUUAUUUUAGUAUUUUAGUUACACUGCUAUCAGUACAUGUGGCA
rnacentral:lncRNA from 1 species